rnacentral:rRNA from 1 species
AUCUUAAUUUUAUUUUAAGAUAAGGUAAGAGAAAAUAAUGAUAUUAUCUUACUAUUAGUGUCGUCUAAAUUUGGUGCCAGAAGACUCGGUAAGACCUUAGACGCAAACGUUAAUCGUCAUAAUCAGGCGUAAAGGGUGUGUAGGCGGCUUUUAAAAUAAAAUAUAAUUAUAGCUAAUGAAUUAUAUUCCAAUAAAAGCUAGAAUCUAAAAGAGGGUAAGCUAAACAACAUAAUUAAUUGGGACUGACAACUUAUAAUAAUGUGGAGUACUAAAGGUUAAAGCUAUUUAUCUACUUAAGAUUGACGCUGAGAAACGAAGGGGAGAAUAAGAAACUUAGAUUAGAGACCUAAUUAUCUCUCUCAGUCAACGAUGAAUGGUAGUUAUUAAAAUAAAAUAAAAUUAUUAGUGACGAGGUUAACACGAUGACCAUUCCGCCUUGUUAGUAAGACUGCAAAGUUGAAAACAAAAAAAUUAGUCGGUCUUGAAGCAAACGAAGUGAAGCAUGUUAUUUAAUUCG